UUUCCUGUGCCUCAGUUGGUAGAGCAUUGCGCUAACAACACAAAGAUUAUCGGUUCACUUCAAAUCCCAGGGCAA